UGAGUACGAGAUGCUACGGCAUCGAAGCAGUCUAUGUCAUACUUCCAAGAAAAGCUUGCACUGUCAUAAACAAAGAAUGCCUGUACCAUAACCGACACAGGUGGGUAGGUAGAGUAUACUAAGGGGCGCGAGAUAACUCUCUCUAAGGAACUCGGCAAAAUGACUCCGUAACUUCGGGAGAAGGAGUGCCUUAUUUCUAAGGUUGCAAUAACAAGAUCCAAGCAACUGUUUACCAAAAACACAGGUCUCCGCUAAGUCGUAAGACGAUGUAUGGGGGCUGACGCCUGCCCAGUGCCAGAAGGUUAAAGAAGUUGGUUAGCAUUAGCGAAGCUGAUAACUGAAGCCCUGGUGAACGGCGGCCGUAACUAUAACGGUCCUAAGGUAGCGAAAUUCCUUGUCGGGUAAGUUCCGACCCGCACGAAAGGCGUAAUGAUUUGGAUACUGUCUCGGAGAGGGGCUCGGUGAAAUAGACUUGUCUGUGAAGAUGCGGACUACCUGCACCUGGACAGAAAGACCCUAUGAAGCUUUACUGUAACUUGAGAUUGAAAUUGGACUUUAUUUGCGCAGUAUAGGUGGGAGGCGUUGAGAAUAAUCUUGCGGGAUUGUUGGAGCCAUCAGUGAGAUACCACUCUUGUAAUGUUAGAUUUCUAACUUUGUAUCAUUAUCUGGUCAAAGAACAGUUUCAGGCGGGCAGUUUGACUGGGGCGGUCGCCUCCCAAAGGGUAACGGAGGCGCACAAAGGUUUCCUCUGAACGGGUAGAAAUCGUAUCUAGAGUGUAAAGGCAUAAGGAAGCUUGACUGUGAGACCUACAAGUCGAGCAGGGACGAAAGUCGGUCUUAGUGAUCUGACGGUGCUGAGUGGAAAGGCCGUCACUCAACGGAUAAAAGUUACUCUAAGGAUAACAGGCUGAUCUCCCCCAAGAGUUCACAUCGACGGGGAGGUUUGGCACCUCGAUGUCGGCUCAUCGCAUCCUGGGGCGGUAGUCCGUCCCAAGGGUUGGGCUGUUCGCCCAUGAAAGCGGUACGCGAGCUGGGUUCAGAACGUCGUGAGACAGUUCGGUCCAUAUCCGGUGUAGGCGUUAGAAUAUUGAGAGGAGCCUUCUCUAGUACGAGAGGACCGAGAAGGACAUACCUCUGGUGUACCAGUUAUCGUGCCAACGGUAAACGCUGGGUAGCUAUGUAUGGAGUGGAUAACCGCUGAAAGCAUCUAAGUGGGAAGCCCACCUCAAGAUAAGUAUUCUC
rnacentral:rRNA from 1 species